rnacentral:misc_RNA from 1 species
CUGGGACACAAAUAAUAGAUGCCACACAAACAAGUUAAAGAAGCACAAUGCUAUUAAAUUACUUGGUUAUUCCAGGCAAGACAGCUAUUAGUAUCAUAAAAUUAACACUCAGCUACUUCUGGAACUUCAAUGGUUAAUAAUAAUUACAAAAACACAUAUUGAACAUGCUCUCAGCAGAUAUACCAUCUAAUCUCUUAGAUGUACAAUCGAGCAAUAAUUUUAUUAUAUUGGAAAAAUAAAUGCACCAUGUUUCUCCUGAAUAACUAAUGAAUUUUGAAAAGUGGAUGAUGAAAAUUACAAAUCCAUAAGCAGAAGAAACAGACAUAAAAGACUUAAAUCUAACAGAAUUGUAUAGGACGAAAUCAUUCAAGUAUCAAAUUGGUUCUCUACCAGCUUGUGGCAUUAAAUCACUCAAUUUUGUGUAGAUUAAUUGAGGAUAACCUAACCAUUUUCUUCUUUCAUCGCCUGACCAAUGCCGUACUAAUAAACUUCAAAAAAUUCAAUCUUCAAUUAACUCUCGUUUGUCUUCAAAAAUAAAUAAAUAAAUCAAAUUUGAUAAAUGGGUCAGAAAUGGCUACUAUGGUAAACUCAAAUAGUACCUCCAGAACCAGAACCAUUCAGUGUGAAAACCCAAAAACUAAGCUAAAUGCAUGUUGAAUCCAUCAUUUUCAUUUGUGACUAGGGUUGAGAAGAAUUCGAUUAAAAUUGAAAAACCAAACCGAACCAUUUGCAUUCAGUUUUUUCAGUUUGGUUUGGUUCUGAUUUUAUAAGAAGUUCGAUUUUCAAUUUAGUUUAGUUAUUUCGCCCAAAAAAACGAAUAAACCGAACCAACUGAAUUUAGUGGGCAGCAUUUACAAGGGGUUUAGGCUUGUUAUGUUUAAAAGGCCUGGUUAUUUUACUUCAGUUUAGACUCGUGUUAUUUACUAAAAACUCUAAAAAACCCCAGGUCAAGCCCACGUUUACUUCACUAAAAAAUGAAAAAUGGAGGCAGACCUAACCCUAAGUCACUACUCACUCACUAGCUCCCUUCUCCCUCCCUGGUUGUGCAGCUGUACCUCCCCCAACCUGCCUCUCAAGUCUCAACCCCUCCGACGCCCUCUCUCUCUCACUUCUCACACUCUUUUGCUUUAGUCUCUCUCACUUUGUUUUGCUUAUCCCCUUGCCAUUUUGCUUUGUUUUGCUUCAGACUCUCCCAGUUUUGCCUGUGUAACUUGCUGUUUUGCUUCAUUUUGCCUUUGUGCACGAACUCAAAAUAUUUUGUUUUGGACAGGUUGUACUCGUCUUCAUGGUUAAGUUCAGUGCCUCUCUUUAGGGAAUUCAGUAAUUUGGUUUGUCCAAUUCGAUUCAGUUCAGAACCAAACUGACCGAAUUCUCUGCCCCAUUUGUAAUCAUAUUUUUAAUUUAUGAUGCAUAAAAAAAGUCUGCGGGCAAAUAUGAAUCUGAAAAUUUGAUGUGG